rnacentral:rRNA from 1 species
GAUGAACGCUGGCGGCGUGCUUAACACAUGCAAGUCGAACGGAGUGCCUUUGAAAGAGGAUUCGUCCAAUUGAUAAGGUUACUUAGUGGCGGACGGGUGAGUAACGCGUGAGGAACCUGCCUUGGAGUGGGGAACAACACAGUGAAAAUUGUGCUAAUACCGCAUAAUGCAGUUGGGCCGCAUGGCUCUGACUGCCAAAGAUUUAUCGCUCUGAGAUGGCCUCGCGUCUGAUUAGCUAGUUGGUGGGGUAACGGCCCACCAAGGCGACGAUCAGUAGCCGGACUGAGAGGUUGGCCGGCCACAUUGGGACUGAGACACGGCCCAGACUCCUACGGGAGGCAGCAGUGGGGAAUAUUGGGCAAUGGGCGCAAGCCUGACCCAGCAACGCCGCGUGAAGGAAGAAGGCUUUCGGGUUGUAAACUUCUUUUCUUAGGGACGAAGCAAGUGACGGUACCUAAGGAAUAAGCCACGGCUAACUACGUGCCAGCAGCCGCGGUAAUACGUAGGUGGCAAGCGUUAUCCGGAUUUACUGGGUGUAAAGGGCGUGUAGGCGGGAUUGCAAGUCAGAUGUGAAAACCACGGGCUCAACCUGUGGCCUGCAUUUGAAACUGUAGUUCUUGAGUACUGGAGAGGCAGACGGAAUUCCUAGUGUAGCGGUGAAAUGCGUAGAUAUUAGGAGGAACACCGGUGGCGAAGGCGACUUUCUGGACAAUAACUGACGUUGAGGCACGAAAGUGUGGGGAGCAAACAGG